AGGAUGGAGAGCCAGAAGGAGACCUGAGGAAGCCACAUGUAGCAAAGGGAGAAGUGAAGAAAACGUGUUUGUUUCUUGGCCCUGGACUUGUUGAAAGAGAUGUGGGGCUUUGGUUUGCUUUUUCCGUGAAAUACGCAGAGGACCAAUAAAAUCUAUUCAUAUAUUCAGGUUGUCCACAAAAGCUGGAACCAUGACCGCAGGCAGCUU